UACAGAGGUCCCAAGCGUUGUUCGGAUUCAUUGGGCGUAAAGGGUGCGUAGGCGGCGCGGGAAGUCGGGUGUGAAAUCUCGGAGCUUAACUCCGAAACUGCAUUCGAUACUGCGGUGCUUUGAGGACUGGAGAGGAGACUGGAAUUCAUGGUGUAGCAGUGAAAUGCGUAGAGAUCAUGAGGAAGACCAGUGGCGAAGGCGGGUCUCUGGGCCGAUACUGACGCUGGAGGAGCGAAAGCGUGGGGAGCAAACAGG
rnacentral:rRNA from 1 species